rnacentral:tRNA from 1 species
GUCCGUGUGAUGAAAUUGGAAAACAUGGCUGACUUAGAAUCAGUUGACUUAUGUCUUGUAGGUUCGAGUCCUACCACGGACACCA